rnacentral:rRNA from 1 species
UACGUAGGGGGCAAGCGUUGUCCGGAUUUAUUGGGCGUAAAGAGCGUGUAGGCGGCUAGGUAGGUCCAUUGUGAAAACUCGAGGCUCAACCUCGAGACGCCGGUGGAAACCAUCUAGCUAGAGUCCGGAAGAGGAGAGUGGAAUUCCUGGUGUAGCGGUGAAAUGCGCAGAUAUCAGGAGGAACACCCGUGGCGAAAGCGGCUCUCUGGGACGGUACUGACGCUGAGACGCGAAAGCGUGGGGAGCAAACAGG